CCCAUGGAGAAUGCUGGCUAGUCUGAGCCCCAAGCACCCAUUUUAGAUCCAAAGGAAAGGAGGGUAGGAGCCUGGCUUUAAUUGCAAGUGAAGCCCGGGGAGUGCUCUUGAGCGGAGAUGUGCAAGCAGAGGAGAGCCUGGCAGUAUGUGUGUGGCUGUUCCUUGCUGUUCCACAUGCAUAGAGCAUUCCAGCCACCGUACCAGCACAGCAUUCUGGGGGAUAAAGCCUGGGAACCCAGCGAGAGUCAGUGUGAGUGCAAGGGCUCAGAGGACAUCCUGCCUCUCCCAAUCUCUACCGAAGGAGUCCCAGAAAGAAAGAGGUGCCUGGCAAGGGAAUUCUAUGUACCCCCUGACUUCCAAAGGGCUGGGACGGGAAGCCAGCUACCAUGUUGUAGGGACAUUCAACCUACGGAAAGGCCCACGUGGAGUGGAACUAAAACCACCUGUCAACCACCAGCACUGACUCGGCAGCCAUCUGAGUGAGCCACCGUGAAACCACAUCUUCCAGCCCCAGUCAAGGCUUCAGGUCCUGCAGCCCCAACAUCUUGACCUCCUCAAAGACCCCAAGCCAGAGCCCUUGUCUGGUAUUUUCACCGAAAGUUGCCCAGCAACCAAUGAGUUAUCUGGCAAAAAUGCUUGUGGCUUACAGUGAAACCACCUAGAACUGUCAGAACAACCGAGCUAAGCCAUUCCUAGAUUCCUGACCUACAGAAACUGUGAGAGAUAAUAACUGUUUAUUGUUUUCAGGCAUCACAUUUUGGGAUACUUUUUAAACAGCAACAGGUAACUAAUACAGGUGUGCAGACCUCUAACUGGCUCACGUAUCAGGAUUUGGUGAGAUUCUCCUUGACAUUUCUACUCUUGGAAAGUCCUUCAUCUUUUUUUUUUUUUAACGUUUAUUUAUUUUUGAGAGAGCGAGCGACAGAGACAGAGACAGAGGAUGAGUAAGGGAAGGGCAGAGAGAGAAAGGGAGAUGCAGAACUUGAAGUAGGCUCCAGGCUCCACACUGUCAGCACAGAGCCCGAUGCAGGGCUCAAACUCACAAACCGUGAGAUCAUGACCUAAGCCAAAGUCGGACGCUCAACCAAUUGGGCCACCCAGGUACCCUGGAAAGUCCUUCAUCUUGAGAAAGGUAAAGAGAAGCCACAGUGCCUCUCUGUCUGCUGUGGAGCCAGGAAUAGAGACUAGACAAUGAUGCUGCCCCUCUAGCCCUUAGGUGUGCUAGCUGACAAUGCUUUGACUGUUUUUACCAGGAGUCAGCACAGUGUUCCUUAAAAGGCCAGAGAGAAAGUAUUUUAGGCUUUGCAGGCCACAUAUGAUAUUUGCUACAGUUAUUCAACUCUGCUAUUGUAGUGCAAAACCAGCAUUAGACAAUACACAAAUGAACAGGCAAACUCUGAUAAAGCUUUAUUUAUAAAAACUGGUGAGUGAUUCAUGGGUCAUAGUGUGUAAUCCCUGGUUUACACAGAGGGAAAACACAAUCCUGGAAGGUCUUUGCUCUGACAGGCUUGCAGAGAUGGAAGGACAUUACUCAUAGAGGGAAGGCCAUUCCUGAACUGCCCAUCCCUGGGCCCCAGUGAUUGCCUUAACCUUGUACCAGGAGGCCAAAAUAUUUGACAUCUGUUACAAACACAACUACAUAGGAAAAACAGAUAAGGGAGCUCAAGGUUUGCUGAGAAUCUGAGUACCUGUCACAGCUAUUAUUGAGAAGACAUCCAUACCUGCUGGAAGGUCCCUUUUAGCCCCAGGAAAGACUAUGUACCUUAAUUGGUUAUUGCUUUCAGGCAGAUUACGUACUUUCUUUCCCACCUCUAAUUUUUGUUGUAUAGAAAAUUGCUUCAAAACUUAAUGGCUAACUCACAUGGCUGGCAUGAGGCUCCUUGAGUGUCCUCACAACAUGGCAACUGGCUUACCCCACAGCCGCCUAUCCAGGAGACCGGGGUGGGGGGGAGAAGCUAUAGUGCCUCUAUGACCUAGCUCUGGAAGUCACACGUGGUCAUAUAUACUGUAUUCUAUUGUUCAUGUAGGUCAGCCCUGAUUCAAUGUGGGAGGGACAAUACCAGGAGGCAAGAAUCAUUGGGGGCCAUCUUGAAGGCUGGGUGGAGUGAGUGGGUCUUGAGGUUAGCACCACACUAGAGUGAUCACUACAACGAAAGCUUACCCACUUAAGUUUGGUGAGGAGGAGCAAAUAGACGGGACACUAUCACCUGUUCAAAUCUAUAUAAGUGACCUUAGGCCCUCAGUCUUGAGGCACCAAGGCUCAGGUACCAAUGGUUAUGAGUUUUAGCUACAUUUGACCACAAAUUUUCAGUGGGGUUCCAAAACCACCAUCCUUGAUGUUCUGUCAUUUCUAGAAGUCUGUAGUAAAUCCUUAUCGUUCUUUUUUGGCUUCCCAGCGUCCAAAUACUUUCCCAGAGGAAUUUCCCAUGUGUGAGUCUUAGUAGGGGCAGGUUCAUGCCUGGUUCUUCAGUCUUUCUGUCAGUAUUUGAUUUACCCUCUAAUUCUCCAAUAAACCCAUUUGCUGUUUAAAUGAGCUAUACUUAGAGGAAGUUCACCUGGUGCCAAAGCCACUACAUCUCUGCCACUUUAAUGCAACAAGUUAAUUUCCAACAAAUUACUUAACAUCUCUGAACUUGAGUUACUUCCCCCGUAAAUUGCAGAAAGUAACCGUUAGCUCGCGAGAUUGCUAUGAGGAUCAGCACCUAGCACUGUGCCUGACACAUCACUGGUGCUCAAUGACUGCUCUUACAUAACAAAUGACAAUGGUGAUGAUGAUGACGAUGGUGGACAUGGGCUAUGGCUCCUCCUUACAUGAACACCUUUCAGGGGUUCACAAAGAGGCAUAGUUGCUCCCAUCUGAUGACAGGUCUUUCAAACUACCUUGAAUGGCCUGGUCUCUCAAUAAUAACUGCCCUUUAGAACUCUCAAAGCUGGCCCCACUUGUGAAGUUGAACAGACCCUUCUAACAAGGAACUUGCUAAAGUCCCCCGGAGACUGAUCCAGACCAUGAUCAAGAGACAACCCUCCUCCAUCCCCGCUCCCAUCUGCAAUGCUUUGCAAACGGGACUCUUUGUGGCCUGUGCUGAGGUCCUAGAGCAUCCAAGAUGGGCAUGUUACUUCAUGUCCCAUGGUGGUCCUUGCAGUCUGGUACCAGGUCAACCAGAACUUUGGCCCAGGCCCCCUGCCUGAUGUAACCCCGUGGCUGCUAGAGACAUAUCCUGGAUGGAAAGCCACACUCCGAGAUACUCUAUUUGAGCAGCGGCCCUUUCCUCUUCCAUCCCUUCUUUGAGCUGAGGGGAGCUGUAACACGGUGUGUCGCCUUUCCUAAGGAUUAUCCUGAGCCUAGGGUGUUCAUGAGAAGUGAUUUGCAAGUCUCAUCCCAGGCUUCUCUGAUUCUAAUCUUAUACCCAGUCUGAGCAAGAGUCCGAUCCCUCUCUUCUGCCCCGCACCCCAAAUCCUGGCAACUGGGUGAUGCCACCUAUACUGGUUAUGUGGGCACUGAAGAUAAAUGGGCAACUGCAAGGUCAGGGAAUCAGCCUGAUGUGGCAAGAAACCUCAGUUGUAGCUGACCAGCCCCCCAUUAUCUUUCUCCAACUAGAGUAUAAGCUGCUGGGAACGGGGAGCCUUCUUACGUUCUUCCUGUCCCCUGGCAUUGUGCCUGGAGAUGAAUCAGGGCUUAGAAAUGUUUCAGCGGCUACUCCGUUGAGGGAGUAGAGCACAGACUGCGGGCCCUGCACAUAUCACCCCCUCCCCACCCCCAGAGCCCCAAAGAGUAAAUACUGUGGUCAGUGGAGCAAUGGGAGGCCAAGGCAUCUCUCAGGGCAAGUCAGCUGACAGAUGGGAACACCAGCCCUCGAUGGCCUGUGUGUUUUUCCAGGUUGCAGAGACAGGAUGGGUCCUGUGCCUGACCAGCAGGACACGACCAUCCCUGAAACAGAGCUGAGCCCCAGCAAGUCUGCUGCUGCGGGGAAAGCUGGUGCUAUCCCAGCUGAGAUUUCAGGCCUGCGGUAGUGGGGUCUCAGGUUACACCCCGCUCUCCAGCUCCCCAGCCUUUGACGGGAGCUGCCUCAGGACAGGGCCAUCACCACCACCCCAUCAGUGCAAGAAAUAUUUGCCAGAGAGCGUCACCGUCCAGGAGGAGAAUGACAACUGAAGAUCUACAUUUCAUUUGUUCCAGGACUAUUUUAGCUUAGAUAGAUUCCUUAAUCCUCCCUCCUUCCCAGUGGGCUCAAAGACCUGGAGACUUUCCACACACUCAGUGUCCCUUUUAAGAUUAGAAAUGGACCUAACGAUAACGCCUCCUUGCAAUAUCCUUCCAAGUGCGUGCCCCAGUAUGCACUGCCUGGUGUAUUUGCAUGUCAGCAUCGUGAGGCUAAACAAGGAGAUGCUUCGGCCUGGAUCGAUAGUGGGCACGACUACCACAGCUAACAUACGAAAUAUUUUAUAAAUAAUCAUGGUAAGUAAGCCUCAGGAUAACCAUAGGAGGUAGGAAUGCCACUGUCCCCAUUUUCAGAGGAGUAAACUGAAGCUCAGGGGCGUUAAGAAACUUCUGAAGUGGCGAGACCAGGAUUCAGAUUCAAGAGUGCCUAGCUCUAAAGCACAAGUUCUUCACACUCACAGUCUAGUGCCCACACGCCUAUGAUACAUCAGUCGCCAUGCUCCACACAGGAAACACGGGGACAAUGAAGAUACCAACUUGAUUCCCACGUGUUCAGCCUCGCCAAGGAAACCAAUAUUAACAUAUUUUUUUAAUUACUUAUUACAAUGUGACAUUUGUAAGCAUUAAAAAAUAGGUACAGGUGUGGUUCAAAGGAUGGUAAUUAAUUCCAUCUAUAAGGGAAGAAGACGGAUUAGGGAAAGCUUCGCAAAAGGACACUCGAAAAGCCGAAACUUUCUUUGCCUAUGGUUCCGUUUCUUUCCUACUUUGAAUGUGUGAUCUUUAGCCAUCAUUCACCCACCCUGGCAUCUGUUAACUGAAUCAUCCAAUCAUCUGGGCAAGACCCAGGCAAAAGGGGCCGCGUCUCUGAGCCCUUGCUUCACCGGGUCUCCUACAUCACCAACACCGGAUAAGUUAAUGUAUGAAAGGACACAAGAGUGCCUCUGUCAUUCAGGAUCCUGAACUUGGCACUGGCACAGCACAACCGAUAACCCUAACCAUCCACUCUCAUGAGUAACACCAUUCAGGCCCCAGGGAAACUUCUCCACCUCUCUUGGUCUGUGCAUCAAAAGGAAAUUGUGCCCAAAAGCCAUGACCUGUGGGUUGUGCUGCUGAAGCUUUGGAAAUGGACCCUUCCCUUCAGAGGGUGGGCAAGCUUUGAGCAGUGGACACACAUACGGGUAAAGACAAAUUAAUUAACUUAUUGUAUUCUCCCUCUCUGAUUCGAACACAACAGAUUCAUGCCCAGUGAAGUAUCUUUUCCUAGUAGUGCGAGUGUCCAUUUCUUCUGUGUUCUAAUGUGCUUUCUAAAGGCACUCAAAAAUUAAUGCAGUGUUCACAACAGUCAUGCAUGAUGGCUAGAGAAUAUUUUCUAGUGGAGACCAAAUCACGAUACUUUUAGUUUGUUUAUUUGCCGGCCUAUCUGUAACACACAGGAAGCAUGAUACUAAUUCUUUGUGGUGACCCCAGGCAGACACUGAAAGCGAGAAUUGUAAACAGUUUUAUUUUUAUAAGAGUGUUUUUAAAGAUUUAAUUAUAUUUUCAAAAGAUUAAAUAACAACUUUUAUCUAAAUGUUGAUUUUUUAAAGCUGAUACGAAUUUAUUAUCAUUGAUACUUUCUCUUUUAAUUUCAGUAGAUUGCUCUGCUUAUUUAUUUGCAUAAAUAUUUAGUCACUUGCAAACAUUAGAUGGGUUCACUCCCCACUCCAGCCACACUCCCUUAUCUCCCAUGGGACCCUUCCUGGACCAGCAAACAGGGGCUUGGCCAGUGUGAUCUCCUCAUCAGCCCUGGUUCAGCAGGAAGAAUAUAAAAGCCUCUCUGGCUAAGGCAGGAAGGGCCUCAGUUGCAAGCCAGUUUAGUUGCUGCUAUAUAUACUUCUCAGUUUCUUGUCUGGCUUUGACCUUGGUCUUCUGACUGUCUCCUGGUACCUAAUUAUUCACCUGGCUUCCUGGUCUACCUCAACAGAUAGCUUCAGGCACUGUCCUCCUGAGCCUGGUCCUCAUCAGUCUGCUUUGGUAGUCACAAUCCCAGCUUCCUCCCCAACAAGUACCCCCCCAACAUCCAUUGGCAUGGCCUGAUGCAGUUCCCUAAUACAAAUUCAUGCUUUAUUUUUUUUUAAUGUGUAUUUGUUUUUGAGAGAGAGAGACAGAGUACGAGCGGGGGAGGGGCAAAGAGGGAGGGGGA